ensembl:snoRNA
AUCCUUUUGUAGUCCACAAGCAUGAUCACUGAGGUUUCAUGCUCAUGAGAGCAAUAUGGCUCCCUCAAACCUUGUUAUGUUGUUGGCACAUUUCCCAUCUGACA